ACCAUGUGCCUGUAGCCCCAGCUACCUGGGAGGCUGAGGUGGGAGGACCACUUGAGCCUAGGAGUUCUGAACUGUCACACAUGAUGCCGAUGGGGUGUCUGUACUAAGUUCAGCAUCACUAUGGUGGCCUCCAUGUUGCCUAAGGAGGGGUGAACCAGCCCAGGUCAGAAGUGGAGCAGGCCAAAAUUCCUAUGCUGAUUAGUAGUGGGAGUGAGUAGCCACUGCAUUCUAGACUGGGCAACAUAGUCAAACCCCAUCUCUA
ensembl:misc_RNA Metazoa_SRP Metazoan signal recognition particle RNA